rnacentral:rRNA from 2 species
GGGUUGUGAGGUUAAGCGACUAAGCGUACACGGUGGAUGCCCUGGCAGUCAGAGGCGAUGAAGGACGUGCUAAUCUGCGAAAAGCGUCGGUAAGGUGAUAUGAACCGUUAUAACCGGCGAUGUCCGAAUGGGGAAACCCAGUGUGAUUCGUCACACUAUCGUUAACUGAAUACAUAGGUUAACGAGGCGAACCGGGGGAACUGAAACAUCUAAGUACCCCGAGGAAAAGAAAUCAACCGAGAUUCCCCCAGUAGCGGCGAGCGAACGGGGAGCAGCCCAGAGUCUGAAUCAGCUUGUGUGUUAGUGGAACGGUCUGGAAAGUCCGACGGUACAGGGUGAUAGUCCCGUACACCAAAAUGCACAGGUUGUGAACUCGAAGAGUAGGGCGGGACACGUGGUAUCCUGUCUGAAUAUGGGGGGACCAUCCUCCAAGGCUAAAUACUCCUGACUGACCGAUAGUGAACCAGUACCGUGAGGGAAAGGCGAAAAGAACCCCGGCGAGGGGAGUGAAAAAGAACCUGAAACCGUGUACGUACAAGCAGUGGGAGCACCUUCGGGUGUGACUGCGUACCUUUUGUAUAAUGGGUCAGCGACUUAUAUUCUGUAGCAAGGUUAACCGUAUAGGGGAGCCGCAGGGAAACCGAGUCUUAACUGGGCGUUAAGUUGCAGGGUAUAGACCCGAAACCCGGUGAUCUAGCCAUGGGCAGGUUGAAGGUUGGGUAACACUAACUGGAGGACCGAACCGACUAAUGUUGAAAAAUUAGCGGAUGACUUGUGGCUGGGGGUGAAAGGCCAAUCAAACCGGGAGAUAGCUGGUUCUCCCCGAAAGCUAUUUAGGUAGCGCCUCGUGAAUUCAUCUUCGGGGGUAGAGCACUGUUUCGGCUAGGGGGUCAUCCCGACUUACCAACCCGAUGCAAACUACGAAUACCGAAGAAUGUUAUCACGGGAGACACACGGCGGGUGCUAACGUCCGUCGUGAAGAGGGAAACAACCCAGACCGCCAGCUAAGGUCCCAAAGUCAUGGUUAAGUGGGAAACGAUGUGGGAAGGCACAGACAGCCAGGAUGUUGGCUUAGAAGCAGCCAUCAUUUAAAGAAAGCGUAAUAGCUCACUGGUCGAGUCGGCCUGCGCGGAAGAUGUAACGGGGCUAAACCAUGCACCGAAGCUGCGGCAGCGACACUAUGUGUUGUUGGGUAGGGGAGCGUUCUGUAAGCCUGCGAAGGUGACCUGUGAGGGUUGCUGGAGGUAUCAGAAGUGCGAAUGCUGACAUAAGUAACGAUAAAGCGGGUGAAAAGCCCGCUCGCCGGAAGACCAAGGGUUCCUGUCCAACGUUAAUCGGGGCAGGGUGAGUCGACCCCUAAGGCGAGGCCGAAAGGCGUAGUCGAUGGGAAACAGGUUAAUAUUCCUGUACUUGGUGUUACUGCGAAGGGGGACGGAGAAGGCUAUGUUAGCCGGGCGACGGUUGUCCCGGUUUAAGCAUGUAGGCUGGUUAUCCAGGCAAAUCCGGAUAAUCAAGGCUGAGGUGUGAUGACGAGGCACUACGGUGCUGAAGUAACAAAUGCCCUGCUUCCAGGAAAAGCCUCUAAGCAUCAGGUAACAUCAAAUCGUACCCCAAACCGACACAGGUGGUCAGGUAGAGAAUACCAAGGCGCUUGAGAGAACUCGGGUGAAGGAACUAGGCAAAAUGGUGCCGUAACUUCGGGAGAAGGCACGCUGGUGUGUAGGUGAAGUCCCUGCGGAUGGAGCUGAGACCAGUCGAAGAUACCAGCUGGCUGCAACUGUUUAUUAAAAACACAGCACUGUGCAAACACGAAAGUGGACGUAUACGGUGUGACGCCUGCCCGGUGCCGGAAGGUUAAUUGAUGGGGUUAUCCGUAAGGAGAAGCUCUUGAUCGAAGCCCCGGUAAACGGCGGCCGUAACUAUAACGGUCCUAAGGUAGCGAAAUUCCUUGUCGGGUAAGUUCCGACCUGCACGAAUGGCGUAAUGAUGGCCAGGCUGUCUCCACCCGAGACUCAGUGAAAUUGAACUCGCUGUGAAGAUGCAGUGUACCCGCGGCAAGACGGAAAGACCCCGUGAACCUUUACUAUAGCUUGACACUGAACAUUGAGCCUUGAUGUGUAGGAUAGGUGGGAGGCUUUGAAGCGUGGACGCCAGUCUGCGUGGAGCCAACCUUGAAAUACCACCCUUUAAUGUUUGAUGUUCUAACGUUGGCCCCUUAUCGGGGUUGCGGACAGUGUCUGGUGGGUAGUUUGACUGGGGCGGUCUCCUCCCAAAGCGUAACGGAGGAGCACGAAGGUUAGCUAAUCCUGGUCGGACAUCAGGAGGUUAGUGCAAUGGCAUAAGCUAGCUUGACUGCGAGCGUGACGGCGCGAGCAGGUGCGAAAGCAGGUCAUAGUGAUCCGGUGGUUCUGAAUGGAAGGGCCAUCGCUCAACGGAUAAAAGGUACUCCGGGGAUAACAGGCUGAUACCGCCCAAGAGUUCAUAUCGACGGCGGUGUUUGGCACCUCGAUGUCGGCUCAUCACAUCCUGGGGCUGAAGUAGGUCCCAAGGGUAUGGCUGUUCGCCAUUUAAAGUGGUACGCGAGCUGGGUUUAGAACGUCGUGAGACAGUUCGGUCCCUAUCUGCCGUGGGCGCUGGAGAAUUGAGGGGGGCUGCUCCUAGUACGAGAGGACCGGAGUGGACGCAUCACUGGUGUUCGGGUUGUCAUGCCAAUGGCACUGCCCGGUAGCUAAAUGCGGAAGAGAUAAGUGCUGAAAGCAUCUAAGCACGAAACUUGCCCCGAGAUGAGUUCUCCCUGAGACUUUAAGUCUCCUGAAGGAACGUUGAAGACGACGACGUUGAUAGGCCGGGUGUGUAAGCGCAGCGAUGCGUUGAGCUAACCGGUACUAAUGAACCGUGAGGCUUAACCUUACAACGCCGAAG